GCAUUGGUGGUUCAGUGGUACAAUUCUUGCUUCCCACACAGGAGACCUGGGUUCAAUUCCCAGCCAAUGCA